AGUUUGAUCCUGGCUCAGGAUGAACGCUAGCUACAGGCUUAACACAUGCAAGUCGAGGGGCAGCAUGACGAUAGCUUGCUAUUGUUGAUGGCGACCGGCGCACGGGUGAGUAACGCGUAUCCAACCUUCCCGUUGCUAGGGGAUAACCUUGCGAAAGUAAGACUAAUACCCUAUGAAGUUCUUCGCAGACAUCUAAAGGAACCGAAGUAUAUCGGCCACGGAGUGGGAGUCCCUCGAUAGCUUGUGCAGUAACGCCACCCAAGCUAAGAAUCAGUAGGGUUCGAGGAGGAGGUCCCACAUGGAACUGGACACGGUUCCAACUCCUUACGGAGGGCAGCAGGGAGGAAUAUGGUCAUGGACGGAGUCCUGACCAGCCAAGUAGGCGUGCAGGAUGACGCCCUAUGGGUGUAAACUGCUUUUAUUUUGGGAAUAAAGUGAGGGACGUGUCCCUUUUUGUAGGUACCACAUGAAUAAGGACCGGCUAAUUCCGUGCCAGCAGCGCGGUAAUACGGAAGGUCCGGGCGUAUCCGGAUUUAUUGGGUUUAAAGGGAGCGUAGGCCGUCUUUAAGCGUGUUGUGAAAUACUGUCGCUCAACGACAGAGGUGCAGCGCGAACUGGGAGACUUGAGUGCGCGGAAUGCAGGCGGAAUUUCGUCGUGUAGCGGUGAAAUGCUUAGAUAUGACGAAGAACUCCGAUUGCGAAGGCAGCUUGCAGUAGCGUAACUGACGCUGAAGCUCGAAAGUGCGGGUAUCGAACAGGAUUAGAUACCCUGGUAGUCCGCACGGUAAACGAUGGAUGCUCGCUGUGUGCCCUUGGGUACGCGGCCAAGCGAAAGCGUUAAGCAUCCCACCUGGGGAGUACGCCGGCAACGGUGAAACUCAAAGGAAUUGACGGGGGCCCGCACAAGCGGAGGAACAUGUGGUUUAAUUCGAUGAUACGCGAGGAACCUUACCCGGGCUUGAAUUGCAGGAGAACGAUACAGAGAUGUUGAGGUCCUUCGGGACUCCUGUGAAGGUGCUGCAUGGUUGUCGUCAGCUCGUGCCGUGAGGUGUCGGCUUAAGUGCCAUAACGAGCGCAACCCCUCUCCGUAGUUGCCAUCAGGUAAUGCUGGGCACUCUGCGGACACUGCCGCCGUAAGGUGUGAGGAAGGUGGGGAUGACGUCAAAUCAGCACGGCCCUUACGUCCGGGGCUACACACGUGUUACAAUGGCAGGUACAGAGAGCCGGUCGUAUGCAAAUACGAUCCAAUCCUUAAAGCCUGUCUCAGUUCGGACUGGGGUCUGCAACCCGACCCCACGAAGCUGGAUUCGCUAGUAAUCGCGCAUCAGCCAUGGCGCGGUGAAUACGUUCCCGGGCCUUGCACACACCGCCCGUC
rnacentral:rRNA from 1 species